CCCGACCUCCGUCAGGGUGACAUAAUAAUAAGAAAAAAAAGAAACGUAGAAUAACAAUACGUCACCCCAACUCUGUUGAGGGUGCCAUAAAAAGAAACGUAGAAUAACAAUAUGUCACCCCAACUCCGUUGAGGGUGCCAUAAUAAGAAAAAAAAAGAAACGUAGAAUAACAAUAUGUCACCCCAACUCCGUUGAGGGUGCCAUAACUAGAUUUGUAAUUGCUAGCAAUAACGGAUGGCACCCUCGCCCCCCCCCCCCAUUGCCAGGAUAAAGGCAGCCAUUUUGAAAUUUCCAAAGUCCAGGAGCAUAUCUACACAUGGAAAUUAUGAUUUUUGUAAAGUUUUAUUAAGUUUGAAGCAUUUUGAAAUUUUUGACAUUUUAGUCAUUUCCAUGGAAACGGCGGCCAUUUUGAAAUUUUUAACUCCAAAAUGCAAUUCUGCCCAUGCCAGUUAUCAUUUCUGUAAAGUUUCAUCUAGUUUGCAGCAUUUUGAAUUUUUUUGAAAUUUUUAUAUUUCUACUGUUUCCAUGGUUACAGUAGAUAAUUCCAAAAUUCUAAAAGCAGGCAUCUCAUUGCCAUAUGUCAUGUUAUAUAUCAAUACAGUUUCAUUGAUCUCUAUGCAAUAUUCUUAAAGAAAAUGCAGCUUUUAUGUAUUUUUCCAUAGGCUCAAUGUUAAACAUUUGCCCUGUUUCCAUGACAAUGGCGGCCAUUUUAGAAUUUCCUUAUAUUGUCACAACAUCUUGGCAUACUAAGGAACAUUACCAUAAAGUUUCAUCCAGCUAGGUCUUAUAACGAAAGAUUUAGAAUUUUGAAAAUUUUUCACUUUUUAGCAGUUUCCAUGGAAAAAUUCCCAGAGUCAGAUGCACAACUUCAAAUGGGGGUCCUCAUUAUGUUAUAGUUCCAACAACAUUGGAUCACUCAAUUCUUAGAAACACGAUGGACAAAAUGUGUGGAAGAAUAAUAAAAAUAAGAAAAAAAAGAAACGUAGAAUAACAAUACGUCACCCCAACUCCGUUGAGGGUGCCAUAAUAAGAAGUGAGCAAAAACAAUAAGUCUCCAAACUUUGUUUGGGAGACUUAAUAA
rnacentral:lncRNA from 1 species